rnacentral:rRNA from 1 species
AGCGUGGUUAAGGAAAAACAAAAACUAAAGCCGAACGACCUCAAGGCUGUUAUACGCUUCCGAAGGUACGAAGCUCAAUCACGAAAGUGGCUUUAAUCCACACCUGACUCCACGAAAGCUGAGAAACAAACUGGGAUUAGAUACCCCACUAUGCUCAGUCCUAAACAUCGAUCGUCUACCACAACCCCGAUCCGCCUGGGAAUUACGAACACUAGUCUGAAACCCAAAGGACUUGGCGGUGCUUUACAUCCACCUAGAGGAGCCUGUCCUAUAACCGAUAAACCCCGUUCAACCUCACCCUCUCUUGCUUUAUUCCGCCUAUAUACCGCCGUCGUCAGCUUACCCUGUGAAGGCCCAAUAGUAAGCACAAUCGGCACAGCCCAGUACGUCAGGUCGAGGUGUAGUGUAUGAGAGGGGAAGAGAUGGGCUACAUUCGCUAACAUUAGCGAAUACGAACGCUGCAUUGAAAUAUGCAACUGAAGGAGGAUUUAGUAGUAAGCCGGAAACAGAGUGUCCCGCUGAAAUUGGCUCUAAAGCGCGUACAUACCGCCCGUCACCCUCUCUAGGCCUAUAGAACUACAUUUAUCUAAA